CCUACGGGUGGCAGCAGUGAGGAAUAUUGGUCAAUGGACGAGAGUCUGAACCAGCCAAGUAGCGUGAAGGAUGACUGUCCUAUGGGUUGUAAACUUCUUUUAUAAAGGAAUAAAACGAGGCACGUGUGCCUUUUUGCAUGUACUUUAUGAAUAAGGAUCGGCUAACUCCGUGCCAGCAGCCGCGGUAAUACGGAGGAUCCGAGCGUUAUCCGGAUUUAUUGGGUUUAAAGGGAGCGUAGAUGGGUUGUUAAGUCAGUGGUGAAAGUUUGCGGCUCAACCGUAAAAUUGCAAUUGAUACUGGCAGUCUUGAGUACAGUUGAGGUAUGCGGAAUGCGUGGUGUAGCGGUGAAAUGCUUAGAUAUCACGAAGAACCCCGAUUGCGAAGGCAGCUUACUAAACUGUGACUGACAUUGAUGCUCGAAAGUGUGGGUAUCGAACAGGAUUAGAUACCCGUGUAGUC
rnacentral:rRNA from 1 species